AAUGUUUGGGAAUUGGAGAGUAGGAAAGCUUAGCCAUCUAUUCCCUUCAUGGUUUCCUCUCCAUGGAUUGGGGGUCUAGAGCUAGUCUUUCCUACUCCUCCCAUUCCUAUUGUUUUC